GACGAACGCUGGCGGCGUGCUUAACACAUGCAAGUCGAGCGGUAAGGCCCUUUCGGGGUACGACGAGCGGCGAACGGGUAGGAGUAACAACGUGGGUGGACCUCGCCCUCCAGCUCUGGGAGUAAAGCCUGGGAAACCGGGGUACGUAAUACCGGAUAUGACUCCAUGACGCAUGUUGUGGGGUGGGAAAGACCUUGUGCGGCUGAGGAUGGGCCCGCGGCCUAUCAGCUUGUUGGUGGGGUGAUGGCCUACCAAGGCGACGACGGGUAGCCGGCC
rnacentral:rRNA from 1 species